UUGGAGGUAUGCCCUGGAGGCAAUCAUAGAGAUGAUGAUAUUCCAUUUGUAUCCAUGAUUUAUAUUGUAUUCAUUGAAUAUCCAUUAAAGGCUACUUGCAAUUGAUUUGCAAUUAUGUGAAUUGUAUGUGAAACUCUUUACUUGUAUGGUUAUUCUAAAGUUGUCCCUAGUCGGAGUUCAUGUGAGGACACACAUGAAUAUUAGACUAGCACAUAUAUUAGUUGAUGACUAUGUUUCAUGAGUCAUGGACAUGGAGAUGUUAAACUAAUAAUGUGGGCACAUGUGGAGACAUGUGCUAGGACUAACUCAACACGAGAAGUAGUUCUCUCUUUACACAAUAUGUAUGCUUUGUCCUUAGACCUGAGAUUGUCGCAUGCACUCAAGAUGUGGAUCGACUUACUUAGGGGCUAUCAAACGCUACACCGUGACAGGGUAGUUAAAAAGGUAGCUUUCGGGUUUGUCAAGAAGCAUGCUAUGAGACAUGGUCAAUCAAGAUGAGAUUUGCCCCUCUCUGAUUAAGAGUGAUAUCUCUGGGCCCCUCGAGUGAUCGGAUCCAAAAAUGCAUGGCCAUGCUACAUACGGUUAAGAGUUAAUCUACAAAGGGAUUCUGAAUCACAGGAUCGAGAAAGAGCGGUCGGCUUGAAGCUAGACCAAAUAUCGUGAGGCAAAGGGAAUAGCAUGUAUAUAAUGUUGUGAUGGUUCGUCUGAUAUGAUCUUCGUGUGCGUAUAGGAGUUGGCACGUCUUGCUAGAGGCCGCUACCAACUAUUGGGCCGAGUAGGAGUACUCGAGCCAUGUCUAUACAUAUCCGAACCCAUAGGGUCACACACUUAAGGGGCUGGAAGCCCAAUUCGGAUGUGAUCCGAGUUGGAUUAGGUUUAGAAGUACUAAUGGGCCUCGGACCCAGAGGCCCGUUAGGAACCUCUAUAAAUAGCGAGGUGGGGCGCCCUAGGGUUUACACCUUUUGGCAAAACAAAUCUGCCGCGCCUCCCACGCCCUCGCCUGUUGCAACUCGCGGAUCUAGCAGUCCGGCUUACGAUGCUUCCUCCCUGCACGUGUGGAUACCUUGGAGGUGUUGCGCUUGCAGCACUUGGACGAGCCACCGACGAGCCACGACGAGCCGCCGACGAGUCGUUGACGUGAUCGACUAUGUUCAACUACGCUGAUCGACUUCGCUGCCCCGACGCGAUUCUACAUCUUCCGCAUCAGUGCAUCGAGUGGUAAUCCCGUGAUCCAUAUACGGUAGUUUUCCUGGUUUACGCGGUAGAAAUUUUUGAUUUGUGCUACCGUAGCUUACCUCGUAUCCCAACAGUGGUAUCAGAGCUGUAGCUGUUUAGUUUUGGAUUCGGGAUGUGUGCAUAUGGAGAUAUGCGAGUUUUUAGUUUGAUCUAUAUCUUGGUUUCGUGGUUUUGCUGCAAUGGUUGUGUAACGACAUACUCGUACCAGUCGGGUUUCCGCCAUCGGAGUUAAGUGAUACACGUAAUGCCAAUUGCAGUGAGCGAAGAUCAAUGUGAUUGGUCGAAUCGAGAUCCAGGUUCAUACGCCAAGCACAUGAGAUGUGCAAUAGUAGAUUGGAUCUACUACCAGGUCGGGAUUUUGCCGUGUGCGUGUGCUUCGGUAAAUCAGCCGUAACUUUUUGGUACGAUCUCGGAUCGGGGUAAAUUUUAUAUGAAAAUUGAUCUACAGAAAAAGUUACACAUGAAAUUCAAUGGCUUUGCCGUUUUUGGCAAAAUUAGAUUUCUCAAAUUCGGCUAGGAAGAUGGAGUUUCAGGCCUCUGAAGUUUGGAACGUUGGAACGUCUAACUCUGUUUUGCAGGAUGUAUGGAUCUUGUGAUCAGUAUGGCCCGCUUGUGUAUGUGAUGCAUGUGUGUAACUCAUUUGUGACCUGUGUGUCGUACGUACGGCAACACGGCUGGAGCCAUAUGUUUGUCACUUUAGUGUAUUUAAUGGUCUGCGUACCAAUCUGUGAUAAUUCAAGCAACUAUGUAAUCUUCAUUACUAGCUUCUUUACUAGCUAUUAGGCGUAAUAGCAUGUUCUAGUUUUUGGAGGACUCAUUACCAGGAGGAUGGCGCACAUGAAACAUGGAGAUGGAGAUCACCAUGGUGAACAGGUUCUGUGGAGAUGGAGAUCACCAUAAGAAAAUGGGCCAUACUGUGUCACAACUGUGUGAAUGCUAUUCUUUAUGUUUUACUUCCUGCAUGAUGUGAUGUUAGAAGUAGAACAAUCCCUCACAAAGUUUAAGUUAGUAUACCCUCCCAACUAAAACUUGCACCGUCCCAUGUCUUGUACAAUUAUUGGUGGGUCUAUGAAAUUAGGGUGCCACUAGUUUUUCUUGACUAGACGGGUUUGUGUCGAACACUUACACGCAUAAGGGUUGGUUUGCUUAACAAGGUUAUCUUAACGGUUAAGAACCUUGGGGCAUAAAGGUUGGGCGCUGAGACAUGGAGAUGUCACCCAACAACAGGAGUCAUAUGUGAUAUGAUUAGCAAGAAGUUGCUUACCAAUCUACCUUGUUUGCUAGCGGUGAUGCUAAAGCUCACUAGUAGACUUGUGGAUCCUGAAUCACUAAGUAUCAAUAGAGGGAUAUUGAUUUUAGUGGGAGUAGAUUCUGUUAAAUAGUUUAAUGUGAUUUGCUCUAUCAUGGAUACGUUUGUGUUAGUGUAUUUUGCAUUACUUUUGUUGUAGAUUAAAUGGCACCUAACACCACCACACUGUUUGCUUUGCGUUUGGUCCUUGAGAAGGACAAGUUGAAUGGAACAAACUACUCGGAUUGGAUCUGUAACCUGAGAAUUGUUCUCAGGGCCGAUAAAAAGAAAGAUGUUCUAGACACCCCACUACCACCAGUACCUGCUGAUGAUGCAUCUGCUGCCGUUAAGGAUGCUUACAAGAAGGCAUUUGAUGCUAAUCUUGAGGUAAGCUGCCUUAUGCUUGCUUGCAUGGAACCCGACCUUGCAGAUGCAGUUCGAAACAAAUCAUGAGGCACACGAUAUGAUCGUGGGGCUCAAGGACAUGUUCCAGACACAAGCUAGGACUGAAAGAUUUAAUGUGUCCAAAGCCUUUCUGGAGUGCAAGCUAGCAGAAGGCGCAGCAGUAGGACCACAUGUAAUCAAGAUGGUUGGUUACACUCAGCGAUUGAAGAAGCUGGGCUUCCCAAUGGGCAAAGAGUUGGCCACUGACUUCAUUCUUUCAUUUCUUCCGCCUAGCUAUGGGAACUUCAUCUUGAACUACCAUAUGCAUGGGACGGAGAAGGAUCUGAAUGAACUGUGUGGUAUGCUCAAGACAGCAAAAGUUGACAUUAAGAAAAGCGCUAGUAGCAGCCAUGUGAUGGCUGUACAGAAUAAGCCUACCUUCAAGAAGAAGGGCAAGGCUGGAGUGUCCAAGCCAAACCCAGCCCCCAAGGCUAAAGCUGGACCUGCUCCAGAUAAAGAGUGCUUUUAUUAUCAUAAACCUGGUCACUGGAAGAGAAAUUGCAAGCAGUACCUAGCUUCGUUGUAGAAUGGCGGAAGUAAGAGUACUUUCACCUCAGGUACGCUUGUUGUUAAUAUUAUAGACAACAUAUUUCUCACUGAUACAAUUAUUAAUUCUUGGGUAUUUUAUACCGGAUCGGUUGCUCAUAUUUGCAAUUCGAUGCAGGGAAUGAUAAGAAGUAGAAGCGUUGAGAAGGGAGAAGUUGAUUUCCGUGUGGGCAAUAAUGCAAGAGUUGCUGCAUUGACCGUCGAGACGAUGUAGCUUCACCUCCCAUCAGGAUUUAUCAUGGAAUUGAAUAAAUAUUAGUUUGUUCCUAGUUUAAGUCGAAACAUUAUGUCUCUUUUAUGUUUGAUGAAGGAUGGUUAUUCAUUUGCGAGUGAAAACAAUGGUUGUGUGAUCUCUAAGAAUGAUAUGUUUAUGGCUUUUGCACCCAUUGUGAAUGGAUUGUUUGUUUUAAAUCUUGAUGGUUCACUUGUCUGUAACAUAAAUGCUAAAAGGCCUCGGCCUAAUGAUUUGAGUACUACCUACAUGUGGCAUUGUCGUUUCGGUCAUAUAAGUGAGAAACGCUUGAAGAAGCUCCAUACUGAUGGACUUUUAACUUCGUUUGAUUUUGAAUCAUACGAGACAUGUGAGGCUUGCUUACUAGGCAAGAUGACCAAGGCACCUUUCACAUGUUUUCCUGAGAGAGCAUUAGACUUGUUGGAACUUGUACAUACCGAUGUAUGCGGACCAAUGAGCACGACAGCUAGAGGAGGGUACCAAUACUUCAUAACUUUUAUUAAUGAUUUUAGUAAAUAUGGAUAUGUCUACUUGAUGAGGCACAAGUCAGAAACCUUUGAAAAGUUCAAGGAAUUUCAGAAUGAAGUUGAAAAUCAGUGUGGCAAGAAAAUUAAGGCCUUGUGAUCUGAUCAUGGAGGCGAGUAUUUGAGCCACGAGUUUAGCAAUCAUCUUUAGAGUUGCGGAAUUGUUCCGCAACUUACACUGCCUGGAACACCUCAGAGAAACGGUGUAUCCGAGCGACGUAAUCAAACUUUGUUAGACUUGGUUCGAUCAAUGAUGAGCCAGUCGUACCUACCGUUGUUAUUUUGGGGAUACGCUCUAGAAACAGUAGCUUUCACACUUAAUAGGGUACCAUCUAAAUCUGUAGUUAAGACACCAUAUGAGAUGUGGACUAGAAAAGUUCCUAGUUUGUCUUUUCUGAAGAUUUGGGGAUGUGAAGUGUUUGUCAAGCGACUUCAGUCGGACAAGAUCACACCCAAGUCGGAUAAGUGCAUUUUCGUGGGAUAUCCAAAGGAAACUUUAGGAUAUUAUUUCUACAACCGAUCAGAGGGCAAAGUGUUUGUCGCUCGGAACACGGUUUUCCUAGAGAAAGAGUUUCUCAAAGGAGAAAAUAGUGGAAAGAUAGUGUAUCUUGAAGAAGUUUAAGAUGAGCCGAUCGGGCAAGAAUCAAUGAGUGAUGCUAACGUAGCAGAACAAGUUGAUAUACCCAUGGCAAGAGAAGCACCGCCACAACCACGAAGGUCGGCAAGGCUCCGUGAAAUGCGGGAAAGAUUAUUGUUGGACAAUGAUGAGCCUGCGACAUAUGCAGAAGCAAUGAUGGAUCCAGACUCCGAAAAAUGGCAGAGUGCCAUGCAAUCCGAAAUAGAGUCCAUGGGUGUUAAAGCCAUAGAGUCCAAGUGGAUCUAUAAGAAGAAAAUCGACAUGGAUGGAAAUGUUCACAUCUAUAAAGCAUUACUUGUCACAAAAGGUUUUCGACAAGUUAAAGGAGUUGACUACGAUGAGACCUUCUCACCCGUAGUGAUGCUUAAGUAUAUUCGGAUUAUUCUAGCUAUAGCUGCAUGUUUCGAUUAUGAGAUAUGGCAGAUGGAUGUCAAGACAGCUUUCCUGAAUGGAAACCUAGCUGAGGACGUGUAUAUGAUACAUCCCAAGGGUUUUGUCGAUCCGAAAAAUGCUGGAAAAGUAUGCAAGCUUCAGAGAUCCAUUUAUGAAUUGAAGCAAGCAUCUAGGAGUUGGAACAUUCGUUUUGAUGAAGUGGUCAAAGGUUUGACUUCACCAAGAACGAAGAAGAGUCUUGUGUUUACAAGAAGGUUAGUGGGAGCUCUGUAGUAUCUCUAAUCUUAUAUGUGGAUGACAUAUUGCUGAUUGGAAAUAACAUUCCUAUGCUUGAGUUCGUAAAGACUUCACUGAAAAAUAUUUUUUUGAUGAAGGACUUAGGGGAAGCGGCAUAUAUUCUGGGCAUUAAGAUAUAUAGAUAUAGAUCAAGAAGGCUUAUAGGAUUAAGCCAAGAUACUUACAUUGACAAAGUGUUGAAGCGGUUCAGCAUGGAAGAGGUGAAGAAAGGGUUUGUUGCCUAUGUCACAUGGCAUACAUCUCAGCAAGACUUAGUGUCCUUCGACUGCUGAUGAGCGGGAUCGCAUGAGUAGAGUGCCAUAUGCCUCAGCUAUUGGAUCUAUCAUGUAUGCAAUGAUAAGUACUCGCCCAGAUGUUUCAUAUGCACUAAGUAUGACAAGCAGACACCAGUCUGAUCCAGGUGAGAGUCACUGGGCAGUGGUGAAAAACAUUCUUAAGUACUUGAGAAGGACUAAAGAUAUGUUCGUCAUCUAUGGAGGUGAGGAGGAGCUCGUUGUAACAGGUUACACCGAUGCUAGUUUCCAAACCAACAGAGAUGAUUCAAAGUCACAAUCAGGAUUUGUGUUGACGCUAAAUGGUGGUGCUGUUAGUUGGAAGAGUUCCAAGCAGGAGACGGUGGCCGAUUCUACGACAGAAUCCGAGUACAUCACGGCUUCGGAAGCCGCGAAGGAGGGUGUUUGGAUAAGAAAUUUCCUCAUUGAGCUUGGUGUGUUCCCGAACACGUCCAGCCCAAUGAAUCUCUACUGUGAUAACAAUGGGGCAAUUGCACAAGCAAAGGAGCCAAGUAACCACCAGAAGAACAAAUACAUAAUGUGGCGAUUUCAUCUCAUUCGAGACUUCGUUAACUGGGGUGAUAUCAAGAUAUGCAAAAUAUACACGGAUCUGAACAUUUCUGAUCCGUUGACAAAACCACUCCCGUAGGCUAAGCAUGAUCCGUAUGUAAGAGCUAUGGGUAUUAGGUACCUUCUAGAUUGACUCUAGUGCAAGUGGAAGACUGUUGGAGGUAUUCCCUAGAGGCAAUCAUAGAGAUGAUGAUAUUCCAUUUGUAUCCAUGAUUUGUAUAUUGUGUUCAUUGAAUAUCCAUUAAAGGCUACUUGAAUUGAUUUGCAAUUAUGUGAAUUGUAUGUGAAACUCUUUACUUGUAUGGUUAUUCUAAAGUUGUCCCUAGUCGGAGUUCAUGUGAGGACACACAUGAAUAUUAGACUAGCACAUGUAUUAGUUGAUGACUAUGUUUCACAAGUCAUGGACAUGGAGAUGUUGAACUAAUAAUGUGGACACAUGUGGAGACAUGUGCUAGGACUGACCCAACACGAGAAGUAGUUCUCUCUUUAAACAACAUAUACGCUUUGUCCUUAGACCUGAGAUUGUCGCAUGUAUUCUAGAUGUGGAUCGACCUACUUAGGGGCUAUCAAACGCUACGCCGUAACAGGGUAGUUAUAAAGGUAGAUUUCGGGUUUGUCAAGAAGCAUGUUAUGAGACAUGGUCAAUCAAGAUGGGAUUUGCCCCUCUCUGAUUGAGAGUGAUAUCUCUGGGCCCCUCGAGUGAUCGGAUCCGAAAAUGCAUGGCCAUGCUACGUACGGUUAAGAGUUAACCUACAAAGGGAUUCCGAAUCACAGGAUCGAGAAAGAGCGGUCGGCUUGAAGCUAGACCAAAUAUCGUGAGGCAAAGGGAAUAGUAUGUAUAUUAUGUUGUGAUGGUUCGUCUGAUAUGAUCUUCGUGUGCGUAUAGGAGUUGGCACGUCUUGCUAGAGGCCGCUACCGACUAUUGGGCCGAGUAGGAGUACUCGGGCCAUGUCUAUACGUAUCCGAACCCAUAGGGUCACACACUUAAGGGGAUGGAAGCCCAAUUCGGAUCUGAUCCGAGUUGGAUUAGGUUUAGAAGUACUAAUGGGCCUCGGACCCAGAGGCCCGUCAGGAACCUCUAUAAAUAGAGGGGUGGGGGCGCCCUAGGGUUUACACCUUUUGGCGAAACACACCUGCCGCGCCUCCCACGCCCUCGCCUGUUGCAACUCGCGGAUCUAGCAGUCCGGUUUGCGACACUUCCUCCCUGCACGUGUGGAUACCUUGGAGGUGUUGCGCCUGCAGCACUUGGACGAGCCAUCGACGAGCCGCCGACGAGCCACGACGAGCCGACGACGAGCCGCGGCACCGGAGGCGAUCUUGCUGCACGUGGACGAGCUGCUGAGGAGCUGCUGGACGCGACGUGAUCGACUACGUACGACUACGUUGAUCGACUACGUACGACUACGUGAUCGUCUUCACUGCAUCGACGCAUAUCUACAUCUUCCGCACCAGUAGUGCAUCGAGUGGUAAUCCCGUGAUCCUUAUACGGCAGUUCUUCCUGGUUAUACGCGGUAGAAAUUUUGAUUUGCGCUAGUGUAGCCUACCUCGUAUCCCAACAGUGAUAUCAGAGCCGUAGCUGCUUAGUUUUGGAUUCGGGAUGUGUGCAUAUGGAGAUAUGCGAGUUUUUAGUUUGAUCUAUGUCCUGGUUUCGUGCCCUUGCUGCAAUGGUAGUGUAACGACAUACUCCUACCGGUCGGUUUCCGCCAUCGGAGUUAAGUGAUACACAUAAAUCCAGUUGCAGUGAGCGAAGAUCAAUAUGAUUGGUCGAAUCGAAAUCCAUUGUCAUACGCCAGACGCAUUAGAUGUGCAAUAGUAGAUGAGAUCUACUGCCGGGGUCGGGAUUUUUGCUGUAUGCGUAUGCUUCGGUAAAACAGCCGUAACUUUUCGGUACGAUCUCGGAUCGAGGCGAAUUGUAUAUGAAAAUUGAUCUACAGAAAAAGUUACACAUAAUUACGACUGACUUUGUCAGUUUCGGCGUAAUUAGAUUUCCCAAAUUCGGCCUCUAAGAUGGAGUUUCGGGCCUCUGAAGUUUGGAACGUUAGAACGCCUAACUCUGUUUUGCAGGAUGUAUGUAUCUUGUGAUCAGUAUGGCCCCUCUGUGUAUGUGAUGCAUGUGUGUAACUCAUUCGUGACCUGCGUGUCGCGCGUACGGCAACACGGCAGGAGCCAUAAGUGUUGUCAUAUUAAUGUAUUUAAUGGUCUGCGUACCAAUCUGUGAUGAUCCAAGCAACUAUGUAAUCUUCAUUACUAGCUUCCUUACUAGCUAUUAGGCGUAAUAGCAUGUUCUAGUUCUUGGAGGACUCAUCACCAGAAGGAUGGCGCACAUGGAACAUGGAGAUGGAGAUCACCAUGGUGAACAGAUUCUAUGGAGAUGGAGAUCGCCAUAUGAAAACGGGCCAUACUGUGUCACAACUAUGUGAAUGCUAUUCUGUUUAUGUUUUACUUUCUGCAUGCUGUGAUGUUAGAAGUAGAAUGAUCCCUCACAAAGUUUAAGUUAGUAUGCCCUCCCAACUAAAACUUGCACCGUCCCAUGUCUUGUACAAUUAGUGGUGGGUCUAUGAAAUUAGGGUGCCACUAGUUUUCCUUGACUAGACGGGUUUGUGUCGGACACUUAGGCGCAUAAGGGUUGGUUUGCUUAACAAGGUUAUCUUAACGGUUAAGGACCUUGGGGCAUAAAGGUUGGGCACCGAGACAUAGAGAUGUCACCCAACAACAGGAGUCAUAUGUGAUAUGAUUAGCAAAAGUUGCUUACCGAUCUACCUUGUUUGCUAGCGGUGAUGCUAAAGCUCACUAGUGGACUUGUUAGUUGUGGAUCCUGAAUCACUAAGUUUCAAUAGAGGGAUAUUGAUUUUAGUGGGAGUAGAUUCUGUUAAAAUAGUUUAAUGUGAUUUGCUCUAUCAUGGAUACGUUUGUCUUAGUAUAUUUUACAUUACUUUGUUGUAGAUUAAAUGGCACCUAGCAGCACUACACCGUUUGCUUUGCGUUCGGUCCUUGAGAAGGACAAGUUGAAUGGAACAAAUUACUCGGAUUGGAUCCGUAACCUGAGAAUUGUUCUUAGGGCUGAGAAAAAGGAAGAUGUUCUAGACAACCCACUACCAGAAGAACCUGCUGAUGAUGCACCCGCUGCUGCUAAGAAUGCUUACAAGAAAGCAUGUGAUGCUAACCUCGAAGUAAGCUGCCUUAUGCUUGCUUGCAUGGAACCCGAGCUGCAGAUGCAGUUCGAAACAAACCAUGAGGCGCACGAUAUGAUCGUGGCGCUUAGAGACAUGUUCCAAACACAGGCCAGGACUGAAAGGUUCAAUGUGUCUAAGGCCUUUGUUGAGAGCAAGCUAGCAGAAGGCGCAGCAGUAGGACCACACGUAAUCAAGAUGGUUGGUUACACUAAACGGUUGGAGAAGCUAGGCUUCCCACUGGGCCAAGAGUUGGCCACUGAUUUCAUUCUUUCGUCUCUUCCGCCUAGCUAUGGGAACUUCAUCUCGAACUACCAUAUGCUUGGGACGGAGAAGGGUCUGAAUGAGCUGUGUGGCAUGCUUAAAACAGCAGAGGCUGACAUCAAGAAAAGCGCUAGUACCAGCCAUGUGAUGGCUAUACAGAACAAGCCUAGCUUUAAGAAGAAGGGCAAUUCUUGGAAGAAGAAGGGCAAGGCUGGAACGUCCAAGCCAAACCCACCGCCCAAGGUUAAAGCUGGACCUGGACCUGCUCCAGACAAAGAGUGCUUUUACUGUCAUGAACUUGGUCACUGGAAGAGAAAUUGCAAGCAGUACCUAGCUUCCUUGAAGAAUGGCGGAAGUAAGAGUACUUCUACCUCAGGUACGCUUGUUGUUAAUGUUAUAGACAACAUAUUUCUCGCUGAUACAAUUAUUAAUUCUUGGGUAUUUGAUACCGGAUCGGUUGCUUAUAUUUGCAAUUCGAUGCAGGGAAUGAUAAGAAGUAGAAGCGUGGAAAGAGGAGAAGUUGAUUUCGGCGUGGGCAAUAAUGCAAGAGUUGCUGCGUUGACCGUCGGGACGAUGCAACUCCACCUCCCGUCAGGAUUUAUUAUGGAGUUGAAUAAUUGUUAUUUUGUUCCUAGUUUAAGUCGAAACAUUUUGUCUCCUUCAUGCUUGAUGAAGGAUGGUUGUUCAUUUACGAGUGAAAACAAUGGUUGUGUGAUCUCUAAGAAUAAUAUGUUUAUGGCUUUUGUACCCAUUGUGAAUGGAUUAUUUGUUUUAAAUCUUGAUGGUUCACCUGUCUGUAAUGUAAGUGCUAAAAGGCCUCGGCCUAAUGAUUUGAGUCCUACCUACUUGUGGCAUUGUCGUUUGGGUCAUAUAAGUGAAAAGCGCAUGAAAAAGCUCCAUUCUGAUGGACUUCUAACUUCGUUUGAUUUUGAAUCAUACGAGACAUGUGAGGCUUGCUUGCUAGGCAAGAUGACCAAGACGCCUUUCACAGGAUUUCCUGAGAGAGCAGUAGACUUAUUGGAACUCGUACAUAGUGAUGUAUGCGGACCAAUGAGCACGACGGCUAGAGGAGGAUUCCAAUACUUCAUAACUUUCACUGAUGAUUUUAGUAGAUAUGGCUAUGUCUACUUGAUGAGGCACAAGUCUGAAACCUUUGAAAAGUUCAAGGAAUUUCAGAAUGAAGUUGAAAAUCAGCGUGGCAAGAAAAUUAAGGCCUUACGAUGUGAUCGUGGAGGCGAGUAUUUGAGCCACGAGUUUAGCAAUCAUCUAAAGAGUUGCGGAAUUGUUCCACAACUUACGCCGCCUGGAACACCUCAGAGAAACGGUGUAUCCGAGCGACGUAAUCGAACUUUGUUAGACAUGGUUCGAUCAAUGAUGAGCCAGUCGGACCUACCGUUGUCAUUUUGGGGAUACGCUCUAGAAACAGCAGCUUUCACACUUAAUAGGGUACCAUCUAAAUCCGUAGUUAAGACACCAAAUGAGAUAUGGACUGGAAAGGUUCCUAGUUUGUCUUUUCUAAAGAUUUGGGGAUGUGAAGUGUUUGUCAAGCGACUUCCGUCGGACAAGAUCACACCCAAGUCGGAUAAGUGCAUUUUCGUGGGAUAUCCAAAGGAAACUUUGGGAUAUUAUUUCUACAACCGAUCAGAAGGCAAAGUGUUUGUCGCUCGGAACGGGGUUUUCCUAGAGAAAGAGUUUCUCAAAGGAGAAAAGAGUGGAAAGACAGUGCAUCUUGAAGAAGUUCAAGAUGAGCCGAUCGGGCAAGAAUCAAUGAGUGAUGCUAACGUAGCAGAACAAGUUGAGAUACCCAUGGCAAGAGAAGCACCGCCACAACCACGAAGGUCGGCAAGGCUCCACGAAAUGCGGGAAAUAUUAUUGUUGGACAAUGAUGAGCCUGCGACAUAUGCAGAAGCAAUGAUGGACCCAGACUCCGAAAAAUGGCAGAGUGCCAUGCAAUCCAAAAUAGAGUCCAUGGGAGACAAUCAAGUUUGGAACUUGGUUGACCCGCCUGAUGGUUUUAAAGCCAUAGAGUGCAAGUGGAUCUAUAAGAAGAAAAAGGACAUGGAUGGAAAUGUUCACAUCUAUAAAGCACGACUUGUCGCAAAAGGUUUUCGACAAGUUCAAGGAGUUGACUACGACGAGACCUUCUCGCCCGUAGUGAUGCUUAAGUCCAUUCGGAUUAUUCUAGCUAUAGCUGCAUAUUUCGAUUAUGAGAUAUGGCAGAUGGAUGUCAAGACAGCUUUCCUGAAUGGAAACCUAGCUGAAGACGUGUAUAUGAUACAGCCCGAGGGUUUUGUCGAUCCGAAAAAUGCUGGAAAGGUAUGCAACCUUCAGAGAUCCAUUUAUGGAUUGAAGCAAGCAUCUAGGAGUUGGAACAUUCGUUUUGAUGAAGUGGUCAAAGGGUUUGACUUCACCAAGAACGAAGAAGAGUCUUGUGUUUACAAGAAGGUUAGUGGGAGCUCUGUAGUAUUUCUAAUCUUAUAUGUGGAUGACAUAUUACUGAUUGGAAAUAACAUUCCUAUGCUUGAGUCCGUAAAGACUUCACUGAAAAAUAGUUUUUCGAUGAAGGACUUAGGGGAAGCGGCAUAUAUUCUGGGCAUUAAGAUAUGUUCCUCGUCUAUGGAGGUGAGGAAGAGCUCGUUGUAACAGGUUACACCGAUGCUAGUUUCCAAACCGACAGAGAUGAUUCAAAGUCACAAUCAGGAUUUGUGUUCACGCUAAAUGGUGGUGCUGUUAGUUGGAAGAGUUCCAAGCAGGAGACGGUGGCCGAUUCUACGACAGAAGCCGAGUACAUCGCGGCUUCGGAAGCCGCGAAGGAAGGUGUUUGGAUAAGGAAUUUCCUCAUUGAGCUUGGUGUGUUCCCGAAUGCGUCCAGCCCAUUGAAUCUCUACUGUGAUAAUAAUGAGGCAAUUGCGCAAGCAAAGGAGCCAAGGAACCACCAGAAGAACAAACACGUAAUGCGGCGAUUUCAUCUCAUUCGAGACUUCGUUAACCGGGGUGAGAUCAAGAUAUGCAAAAUACACACGGAUCUGAACAUUUCUGAUCCGUUGACAAAACCACUCCCGCAGGCUAAGCAUGAUGCGCAUGUAAGAGCUAUGGGUAUUAGGUACCUUCUAGAUUGACUCUAGUGCAAGUGGGAGACUGUUGGAGGUAUGCUCUAGAGGCAAUCAUAAAGAUGAUGAUAUUCCAUUUGUAUCCAUGAUUUGUAUAUUGUGUUCAUUGAAUAUCCAUUAAAGGCUACUUGAAUUGAUUUGCAAUUAUGUGAAUUGUUUGUGACACUCUUUACUUGUAUGGUUAUUCUAAAGUUGUCCCUAGUCGGAGUUCAUGUGAGGACACACAUGAAUAUUAGACUAGCACAUGUAUUAGUUGAUGACUAUGUUUCACAAGUCAUGGACAUGGAGAUGUUGAACUAAUAAUGUGGACACAUGUGGAGACAUGUGCUAGGACUGACCCAACACGAGAAGUAGUUCUCUCUUUAAACAACAUAUACGCUUUGUCCUUAGACCUGAGAUUGUCGCAUGUAUUCUAGAUGUGGAUCGACCUACUUAGGGGCUAUCAAACGCUACGCCGUAACAGGGUAGUUAUAAAGGUAGCUUUCGGGUUUGUCAAGAAGCAUGCUAUGAGACAUGGUCAAUCAAGAUGGGAUUUGCCCCUCUCUAAUUCAGAGUGAUAUCUCUGGG
rnacentral:lncRNA from 1 species